UUAGGAAUCUUGCGCAAUGGGCGAAAGCCUGACGCAGCGACGCCGCGUGACUGAUGAAGUCCUUCGGGAUGUAAAGGUCUUUUGCAGGGGAAGAAGGAUGUGACGGUACCCUGCGAAUAAGCCCCGGCUAACUACGUGCCAGCAGCCGCGGUAAUACGUAGGGGGCGAGCGUUGUCCGAAUUCACUGGGCGUAAAGCGCGCGUAGGCGGACCUUUAAGUCAGAGGUGAAAUCUCAGGGCUCAACCCUGAAACUGCCUUUGAAACUGGUGGUCUUGAGGUAUGGAGAGGGAAGUGGAAUUCCUGGUGUAGCGGUGAAAUGCGUAGAUAUCAGGAGGAACACCCGUGGCGAAGGCGGCUUCCUGGCCAUAUCCUGACGCUGAGGUGCGAAAGCCAGGGGAGCGAACGGG
rnacentral:rRNA from 1 species